rnacentral:rRNA from 1 species
UACGUAGGGGGCAAGCGUUGUCCGGAAUCACUGGGCUUAAAGCGUGUGUAGGCGGAUUGCUAAGUACCUUGUGAAAUCCCACGGCUUAACCGUGGAACUGCUUGGUAUACUGGCUGUCUUGAGCCACUUAGGGGCAACCGGAACAAACGGUGGAGCGGUGAAAUGCGUAGAUAUCGUUUGGAACGCCAAUGGUGAAAACAGGUAACUGGGAGUGUGCCGACGCUGAGAUACGAAAGCCAGGGGAGCGAACGGG